rnacentral:rRNA from 1 species
AUCGAAAGCUUGCUUUUGAUGGGCGUCGACCGGCGCACGGGUGAGUAACGCGUAUCCAACCUGCCCAUCACUUGGGGAUAACCUUGCGAAAGUAAGACUAAUACCCAAUGAUAUCUCUAGAAGACAUCUGAAGGAGAUUAAAGAUUUAUCGGUGAUGGAUGGGGAUGCGUCUGAUUAGCUUGUUGGCGGGGUAACGGCCCACCAAGGCGACGAUCAGUAGGGGUUCUGAGAGGAUGAACGGCCACACUGGAACUGAGACACGGUCCAAACUCC